GACCUUACUUUGAUAUUUUUUUUUCUUACCUGGUGAGGCAGGAAAGUGAGCUUCUGGUUCCAAGCGUCCGGCACAGGCUGAGCAUGACCUGCUCCACAGGCAGCGACAGGUGGGGAGUUUGACGAGCAAGCGGUAUACCUAUCAAACCACAAUGCAGGUGUCCUAAGGUGAGGUCAGGGAGGACAGAAACCUCCCGCAGAGUGAAGGGCAAAAACUCGCUUGAUCUUGAUUUUCAGUACGAAUACAGACCAUGAAAGUGGUCUGGUUUUUGGGGUUUUAAGCAGGAGGUGUCAGGA
rnacentral:ncRNA from 1 species